UACAGCCAUUUCACCCCAAAGCACCUGAUGUUCUUUGAUCUCAAAAGUUAAGUAGGGCUAAGCCUGGAUAGCACUUGUUUGGGAGAAAUUGGACUUACCUUGGUAAGCUUUAC
rnacentral:rRNA from 1 species